CUUCCGCUGCAUUACUAAAUUGAUAACCGCAAAGUAAAGAAAGAGUUGAGGAUUUCAUUUCCCAAAGGUGAAGAGCAAUAGAAAGUAUAAGAAUAGUUUCCCUGACUUGGUGGGUUAGAACACUAUCCAAAAUUAGAAACCUUGAGGUCAAUCGAAGCAUCCAAUAUUAAAUUUUCAGGCUGCACGAGAAAAAGAGAGUUUAAUUUCUAUGGACUAACAUUGUGUAACUCUUUUACAUCAUCAUUGUCACGUAUAUAAGUUAAAAUCCGCCAAAAAGAGGUAGGAUAUUAGUUAGUUUGUAGGUGUAGCUUCCUAGAAUGAUUUACUAAAUUCAGUGAGUUGUUUCAAGGGAUCAAAACAGUGAGUUAUUAUUGGAAUUCCUUCACCACUCUUAGGUUCCGUUACUUCAGUUUGUUUUGUAACUCUUUUUCUGUUAUGGUUACUCAAAGAAAAUUUAGGACUAAUAUGUUAACCUUCCCUUUUGUUUCCAUUGUUCCGGAAGCCUCAAGUUUGUUGAACUGAAUUUUCAUAGAUUGCCAGAUUCUAGACUACAAUAUGUGUUCUUGAAUUGUAAUUGAUUAUAAAUUCUUUAAAAUUACCUCACGGUUUUUGUCGAUUGUUUGUACAGAGGGAGUUUCCCACAGGAGAACCCUUCUGGAUUAGCCUCAAUGCCUUUGUAUAAGUCCUUCAAAUGACUCUGUUAUUGGUAUUAGUAUUGAUAUUUAUUGAUUUCGAGUCAAUCAUACGUGCGCCGUUCGUUUUUAGUUUAUCUUUCAUCCCCUCUUUGACCCUUCAUUUUAGAUUAUUCAUCCGUUUACUUUGAUUUGCAGAAACGAACAUCCCUUGCAUUCACAACAACCUUCAUCUGCGAGCAAAGUAAUGUUCAUCAUCUGCUGAAGCUUCAAUUCUGGACAAGAAGAUUAAGCUUCCACCUUUGGUCGUAGCACUAUGUUUUGAAAAGCUAGGUUGAAGAAAGAUGCCCAACACUUCAAAAAGGUACAUGACACAUCGAGUGCCACACUAUUGCUGUUACAGUGUUGCUACUAUACCCUACUUCCAUUGCUAAGACGUUUUCUCCUAUUCCAACAGGAAAUUUAACAUGUAUUUUGUCAUCACACAUACAAAGUUGUAACAGUAACUAAGAAUACCAAGAUGACAGCCACUAAUAGUGCUGGCAAUUUAAGUUCAUUUUUUACUGACCCGUCCAAAUAGCCCAUCAAAUAUGUGUUCAAAAAGUGAAUGAAAAAUUACCUAUGUAGACAUCUUUUUCCAUAAUUUCCAUUAAUUCUUGCCAUUUUAAAAAAAUUUCAAAAUCCCUUAUUUCCUCCUAAAACUAAUCAGGCGGAUACAUAACUCAUAACUCCAAAAAUCAAAAUUUAUCACUUCCUCAUUUCAUUCCAUAAAUCACUCUCCAUUUUCUUGUCAGUUAAUUUCUCAAUUACUUUUGAAAUUCAAAAUCAAGUCUUUAUCUAGUCAAAACUAAUUCAACAUGAAAUAGGUAACUUGUUUAUCUGUUCAAAUUUGUUUGUCCUUCAUUUUUUAUUUUUUUUCUUUCUUCUUCGAAACAUUGAAAAUGCACCAUCUUUUAGUCUUGCUUUUACAUAAUUAAACUCAAAUAACACUCGUGUUUUUUUAAUUCGAAGAUAUUGUUUGGGUUGUAAACAAAUCAAAAAACUGCACGACUCAUCAAUAGCGAAAGUAAACAUUGAGAAGUUGGAGAUAGAGCAUAUAAUAUCAAAUUUGCCAUGAGACGAAAAACACUUUUAUUAUGUGUGAACAACAAAGGGGGGCGAUAGGAGAUGGACAUAUCAAAAGGUUCAUUCAUAGUCGAAGAUUGAUAACUUUUCUAUUCAAGAAAUUCUCAAAAAUGGUGAGGUGUGAGUUUGUCGAAACUACAGAAAGUUCAUCAAUACUAAAUAAAACUUGUAUAUCAUAUGGUGUUUUUUUAGAAAAAAAAACUAUCAAUUUUUAUACUUGUUUUGUUGGUAAAUCAUGAAUGACCCACAAACGACAAAUUCAUGUUUCAUAUUGUGAUGUAUCAGUAUUUAAGUGCAAUCUAUUAGUAUGUUGAUUUUGUUCUAUUGAUUGUUGAAUGUGUUUCAGUUAGCUAAUCAAAUAAUGAUCCAUUAAUGAAAAUAUAAUGUGUCAUAUUAUAAUGUAU
rnacentral:lncRNA from 1 species